GACGAACGCUGGCGGCGUGCCUAAUACAUGCAAGUAGAACGCUGAAGAGAGGAGCUUGCUCUUCUUGGAAGAGUCGCGAACGGGUGAGUAACGCGUAGGUAACCUGCCUUGUAGCGGGGGAUAACUAUUGGAAACGAUAGCUAAUACCGCAUAACAAUGGGUGACCCAUGUCAUUCAUUUGAAAGGGGCAACUGCUCCACUACAAGAUGGACCUGCGUUGUAUUAGCUAGUAGGUGAGGUAACGGCUCACCUAGGCGACGAUACAUAGCCGACCUGAGAGGGUGAUCGGCCACACUGGGACUGAGACACGGCCCAGACUCCUACGGGAGGCAGCAGUAGGGAAUCUUCGGCAAUGGGGGCAACCCUGACCGAGCAACGCCGCGUGAGUGAAGAAGGUUUUCGGAUCGUAAAGCUCUGUUGUAAGUCAAGAACGAGUGUGAGAGUGGAAAGUUCACACUGUGACGGUAGCUUACCAGAAAGGGACGGCUAACUACGUGCCAGCAGCCGCGGUAAUACGUAGGUCCCGAGCGUUGUCCGGAUUUAUUGGGCGUAAAGCGAGCGCAGGCGGUUUGAUAAGUCUGAAGUUAAAGGCUGUGGCUCAACCAUAGUUCGCUUUGGAAACUGUCAAACUUGAGUGCAGAAGGGGAGAGUGGAAUUCCAUGUGUAGCGGUGAAAUGCGUAGAUAUAUGGAGGAACACCGGUGGCGAAAGCGGCUCUCUGGUCUGUAACUGACGCUGAGGCUCGAAAGCGUGGGGAGCGAACAGG
rnacentral:rRNA from 1 species